CAGCAGCCGCGGUAAUACCAGCCCCGCGAGUGGUCGGGACGAUUAUUGGGCCUAAAGCGUCCGUAGCCGGGUUGGGAAGUCCUCCGGGAAAUCUGGCCGCUUAACGGUCAGAAUGCCGGAGGAUACUCCCAGCCUAGGGAGCGGGAGAGGCCGAGGGUAUUCCCGGAGUAGGGGUGAAAUCCUAUAAUCCCGGGAGGACCACCUGUGGCGAAGGCGCUCGGCUGGAACGCGUCCGACGGUGAGGGACGAAGGCCAGGGGAGCAAACCGGAUUAGAUACCCGGGUAGUCCUGGCUGUAAACGAUGCGGACUUUGUGUCGGACAAGCUAUGAGCUUGUCCGGUGCCGGAGGGAAACCGUUAAGUCCGCCGCCUGGGGAGUACGGCCGCAAGGCUGAAACUUAAAGGAAUUGGCGGG
rnacentral:rRNA from 1 species